CAUGCAGUCGAGCGGACCGACGGGAGCUUGCUCCCUUAGGUCAGCGGCGGACGGGUGAGUAACACGUGGGUAACCUGCCUGUAAGACUGGGAUAACUCCGGGAAACCGGGGCUAAUACCGGAUAGGAGAUUGAACCGCAUGGUUCAAUCAUAAAAGGUGGCUUUUAGCUACCACUUACAGAUGGACCCGCGGCGCAUUAGCUAGUUGGUGAGGUAACGGCUCACCAAGGCGACGAUGCGUAGCCGACCUGAGAGGGUGAUCGGCCACACUGGGACUGAGACACGGCCCAAACUCCUACGGGAGGCUGCAGUGGGGAAUCUUCCGCAAUGGACGAAAGUCUGACGGAGCAACGCCGCGUGAGUGAUGACGGCCUUCGGGUUGUAAACCUCUUUUGUUAGGGAGCAAGGCACUUUGUGCGAACAGUUAGAAGGAUUGACGGUACCCAAGGAGGAAGCCACGGCUAACUACGUGCCAGCAGCCGCGGUAAUACGUAGGUGGCAAGCGUUGUCCGGAAUUAUUGGGCGUAAAGCGCGCGCAGGCGGUUUCUUAAGUCUGAUGUGAAAGCCCCCGGCUCAACCGGGGAGGGUCAUUGGAAACUGGGAGACUUGAGUGCAGAAGAGGAGAGUGGAAUUCCAUGUGUAGCGGUGAAAUGCGUAGAUAUAUGGAGGAACACCAGUGGCGAAGGCGACGAUCUGGCCUGUAACUGACGCUCAGUCCCGAAAGCGUGGGGAGCAAAUAGGAUUAGAUACCCUAGUAGUCCACGCCGUAAACGAUGAAUGCUAGGUGUUGGAGGGUUUCCGCCCUUCAGUGCCGCAGCUAACGCAUUAAGCAUCCCGCCUGGGGAGUACGGCCGCAAGGCUAAAACUCAAAGAAAUUGACGGGGGCCCGCACAAGCGGUGGAGCAUGUGGUUUAAUUCGAAGCAACGCGAAGAACCUUACCAGGUCUUGACAUCUUUUGAUCACCUGAGAGAUCAGGUUUCCCCUUCGGGGGCAAAAUGACAGGUGGUGCAUGGUUGUCGUCAGCUCGUGCCGGGAGAUGUUGGGUUAAGUCCCGCAACGAGCGCAACCCUUGAUCUUAGUUGCCAUCAUUAAGUUGGGCACUCUAAGGUGACUGCCGGUGACAAACCGGAGGAAGGUGGGGAUGACGUCAAAUCAUCAUGCCCCUUAUGACCUGGGCUACACACGUGCUACAAUGGACGGUACAAAGAGCUGCAAGACCGCGAGGUGGAGCUAAUCUCAUAAAACCGUUCUCAGUUCGGAUUGUAGGCUGCAACUCGCCUACAUGAAGCUGGAAUCGCUAGUAAUCGCGGAUCAGCAUGCCGCGGUGAAUACGUUCCCGGGCCUUGUACACACCGCCCGUCACACCACGAGAGUUUGUAACACCCGAAGUCGGUGGG
rnacentral:rRNA from 1 species